rnacentral:rRNA from 1 species
UACAGAGGGUGCGAGCGUUAAUCGGAAUUACUGGGCGUAAAGCGCGCGUAGGCGGCUUUGUAAGUUAGAGGUGAAAGCCCGGAGCUCAACUCCGGAACUGCCUUUAAAACUGCAUCGCUUGAAUCCAGGAGAGGUGAGUGGAAUUCCGAGUGUAGAGGUGAAAUUCGUAGAUAUUCGGAAGAACACCAGUGGCGAAGGCGGCUCACUGGACUGGUAUUGACGCUGAGGUGGCGAAAAGCGUGGGGAGCAAACAGG